rnacentral:rRNA from 1 species
ACGCUCGACACCUACGGGAGGCAGCAGUGGGGAAUAUUGCACAAUGGGGGAAACCCUGAUGCAGCGACGCCGCGUGACUGAAGAAGUAUUUCGGUAUGUAAAGGUCUAUCAGCAAGGAAGAAGAAAGACGGUACUUGACUAAGAAGCCCCGGCUAACUACGUGCUAGCAGCCGCGGUAAUCUGGAGCGGGCUGGCAAGGC